rnacentral:lncRNA from 1 species
GUCUUAGUUAUGCACUCCUUCUAAUCCGGUUUUCUCCAGAGAGACUUGUCUUUGGAACAUCGUUGGCCAUUUUCCAAGCCAUUCCUAACACUUAUACUUUGACUAUUGGUUGCUUUUAUGUCUUAGGUUGAAUUACUUGAACGCCAGCCUUUGACCAUUUUUGAUGUAAGAAUAACAGCAAUUCCAUAUUUUUCAAUGCACAUGUUAAUUGGUGGAACCCCUUGAAGAGAGGGAGGUCGAGUCUUAGGCCCCACUGCCCCUGACACUUUCAUCCUUCGCAUUCAGGAGGUCUGGGAAACUGCCAGCAAAGGAUAUUUUGCACAGGGCCUGGAAGAAAAUGGACCAAGCCAGAGGUUGUCAGAGUGGCUGAUGCAAGCCAGGCAGCAGCUGUGGAGAGUUUCUGUGUUGACUAGGGCAUCCAUGAACUGAGAGACCCCUUCCUGCACUGGACUGUCCUGCUUACCACUGUGAGUCUGUCUCCCUGGCCUGGGGGCGUUCAGGUGGGAAAGAGGACCUGCAGCUCCAGCUGCAUCAGGAUGUCUGGCUUCUGCUCCAGCAUCCGCUGUGGACACUUCUGCAUGUACAAGUCUCUCCUCCCUGGCCUUCCCCGUCUCCCUCUCACUGGGGCCGCCCACCUCCUUGCAGCUCUACGGGUCGUCUUCAGGACAUCACCUGGUCUGCCUGUCUCUGUGUGAGCUGCUCAGUUCUGGGCCAUUCUCUCUGCACUCUUUUUCUUUCUUGUUUUUUUCCGCUUUGUUUUUCUUUUUUGUUUUUAGUUGUGGGUCCUUCUAGUUGUGCUAUGUGGGACGCCGCCUCAGCAUGGCCUGAUGAGCAGUGCCAUGUCCGUGCCCAGGAUCUGAACCAUGGGCCACUGAAGUGGAGCAUGCGAACCUAACCACUUGGCCACGGGGCCAGCCCCUCUCUUUGCAGUCUUUAUUCUCCCUCUGAACGAUCUUAACCAUGGCUUUAACUUAGAGGAAGGAACUCACCCUUAUGGAGUAAGUCUAUGAGUGAAUAACAGGGCUUUAUCCCAUUAUUCAUUUGCACAUUGAAUAUUCAUUGAGUGUCUGCCCUGUGGCAGGACCGUUCUGGGGCUGGGGAUAUAUUAUCUUUUUGACUCUUCACAACGAAGUAGGUACUAUUGUAACCGCAGGCCCUCCUUAAGAGUUGUCUUUCAGGAACUGAGAGUUCCCCCUUGUCCAGUUCAUGCUGGUUGGGACCACCAGCCCAUCAACUGGGCCUGAGCCAAUGCUGGAUAAGUGACCUUUUUGACAUCAAGGAGCUAAAAACUCCCCCCUCAGAUCAUACUAACACCACCAUUUUGUGAGCAUGCGUCCUAUGAA